rnacentral:rRNA from 1 species
UACCGCGAAGAACCUUACCAGGGCUUGACAUGCCGCGAAUCCUCUUGAAAGAGAGGGGUGCCCUCGGGAACGCGGACACAGGUGGUGCAUGGUUGUCGUCAGCUCGUGUCGUGAGAUGUUGGGUUAAGUCCCGCAACGAGCGCAACCCUCGUUCUAUGUUGCCAGCGCGUUAUGGCGGGGACUCAUAGGAGACUGCCGGGGUCAACUCGGAGGAAGGUGGGGAUGACGUCAAGUCAUCAUGCCCCUUAUGUCUUGGGCUUCACGCAUGCUACAAUGGCCGGUACAAAGGGCUGCGAUACCGUAAGGUGGAGCGAAUCCCAAAAAGCCGGUCUCAGUUCGGAUUGAGGUCUGCAACUCGACCUCAUGAAGUCGGAGUCGCUAGUAAUCGCAGAUCAGCA